AUGGCGCUGGUGCCGAACCCAAGCCAACCGGGCCUCCGGAUCUACAAGCCGAGUUUCUCCUACUGGUACCCUUCGCUGGAGCAAGACUCCGGGUCCAGAUCUCAUCUGCUGCACAAGAUCGGCGCCUUCUACCGCAAGGCGUGGAAGCGGCUCCCGCGCCGCCGGCCGCAGGGCCUCUGCGUCGGCCUCCUCGACCCGGUCUCCAACAUCGUCAUCAACAGUCUCAUCUCCUCCCGCAAGCGCAAGCGCGACGCUGGAUUUAGUUGUUGCGAGGGUGUGCAAGACGACCUGGAGCGCCGCUCACUUGACGCCCUGGUGGCGUUCCUCACCCGCUUGUUUCCCAACCUCCCCGAGAGCCUGGCCGUGCACUACCUGCGUCUCGCCGACGCCGACGCCCUAGUCGCCGCCCGCGUCAUCGUGUCACACCAUGGCAUGAAGAGGUUUGAUGAAUCGGAGCCAGCCGUCCUGGACAUGGCCCCCAUCAAGUGUGCCGCACUGGCUGUCGGGUACCCCAACCCCGACCACCUCGUCCAUGCCUGGCGCAACAUCUCCGGCCACAUUGACGACACUCUGCACCUCCUCGCCAUAUUGCACAAACCAUCGUCCGACCGCUCCCAUGGCACUAGCAAGUUCGCCAGGAUGCUUAAGACACCACCAUCCCGCCGCUCCUGCAUCAUUAGCAAGCUCACCAGGAUGCUUAACAACGGACCAUCGCCCGGCUGUGAAAAAGACAUAUGGUGGGCAUGGCGGCUCGCGGCUUCUCGUCGCAGUCGUCCCUGCAGCGACCCGUACCUGCACACCGGCUUGCUCAGCCGGACGCUCCAGGACGCCAUCCACGGUUUUUACCUCCAGGCCCUCGCCCGGUUGCCAGCAGGCUCUAGCUUCUACCGCAGCCUGCUCAAGGCCGGCUACUGCUACGGCCCUCUUGAUCCCAUCUCAAACAUCAUCGUCAACACCAUCUGGUAUGACACUGCAUUCCCACCUACCAUGAAACUCGAGCUGGACCUGGAUGUGAUCGGCACGCGGGGUCUCCACCGGGUGGAGAACCGCUCCUUGUAUGGCCUGGCCUCCUUCCUCUGCACACGUUAUCAUCGCUUCGAUUUCCAUCAAGCCAUGCAAUGCCUGGUCCAGGCUGAUGCCAACCUUGUGCUCGCCGAUCCCAACCUUGUGCUUGCCGAUCCCAACAUUGAUCCUUCCUCUCUCUAUGUGCUGAUGAGGUGCCCACCAUCUGCUGCCCCCACUAGCAAUGCUGUUGAAGCUCAAGACCCCCCGGACACCAGCCUUGAGAAAGCCUUCUUGGCGGCUGCCACCGCAGCCUUUCACCCCAACCCGGAAGCCCAUGUAAAGCUUCUCACUUCGUGUAAGCUGAAGUCUGCCUUUCGUCUGCUGCAUCGUCGGCCUGACAUGCUAUCUUCUCAAGAUGUUAAGCGGCUUGCCAUGUUGUUGUGUCCCGAAUCUGCCCAUGACUGCGAGAGGGCAUUUCUCCCACUCCCCCUCACGGUUUACCCCCGUGCAAAGCUAGCAGGCAUGUAUACAAGAAUCUCCAAGAAGGUCAAUGCUCUGCUGAAUGCAUAUGCUCAGAUGCCAAAUGGGGAUCCGAAAUUCGAGCGUUAUACGAUUUGUGGUGUGAAUGAUCGUGUGUGCGGCCCUACUUCCUUUCCUCCUAAGUAUGGCCACACUCAUGUCAAUUUCGUGGCUACUCCCAAAAGCACUUGUGGUGGUUCUGCGGCUUUGUUUUUUGCUGAAAUUAGCAACAAUGACCAAGACGACGAGUCCUUCUGUUGCCAUGUUGCUCUGCCUCCGCCAUGUGCUGCACAAAUUCGGUGUCUUUACUGUGAGUACAUUGGGACUAGAAUUGUGCAUCCAGCCGGGAUAGACUUCCAUGGGCGUGAGUCGGAGUUUGAGAAGAUGGCCUGCGGAAAAGACCCCCGUAACGGUGACUAUGUCCCUCCGUGGAGGGCACCAUACUACAGCAACUCGCAAAUCAUCAAUAAUAGGCGCGGCUUGGCAGAGAAUGUUUAUGGCAGGGAGAAAGAAGAUAGCCUCUAUGAUGACUUGGAUGAGCACAAGAGUGUGGAUCUGGGGCCCAUGAGUAUUCGACAAAUAUUUUUAGAAAUGUAG
rnacentral:rRNA from 1 species